rnacentral:rRNA from 1 species
CAGUCGCCGCGGUAAUACGAAGGGUGCAAGCGUUACUCGGAAUUACUGGGCGUAAAGCGCGCGUAGGUGGUUUGUUAAGUUGGAUGUGAAAUCCCCGGGCUCAACCUGGGAACUGCAUCCAAAACUGGCAGGCUAGAGUAGGGCAGAGGGUGGUGGAAUUUCCUGUGUAGCGGUGAAAUGCGUAGAUAUAGGAAGGAACACCAGUGGCGAAGGCGACCACCUGGGCUCAUACUGACACUGAGGUGCGAAAGCGUGGGGAGCAAACAGGAUUAGAUACCCGAGUAGUCCCUGUCUCUUAUAC